rnacentral:pre_miRNA from 1 species
AAUAAUCCCAUUUUCUAUUUUUUCGUGUCUAACGUUUGAUCAUUUGUCUUAUUUAAUUUUUUUUAUGAUUAAUAUUUUUAUUAUUACUAGAUAAUAAAAUAUGAAUAGUACUUUAUACGUGACUAAAUUUUUAAAAGUUUUUAUGUAAAUUUUUUAAAUAAAACGAAUGGUCAAACAUUAGACACGAAAAA